rnacentral:rRNA from 1 species
GACAGAGGGUGCAAACGUUGUUCGGAAUCACUGGGCGUAAAGGGCGCGUAGGCGGCUUUAUAAGUCGGGGGUGAAAGCCUGUGGCUCAACCACAGAAUUGCCUUCGAUACUGUAGAGCUUGAGACCGGAAGAGGUAAGUGGAACUGCGAGUGUAGAGGUGAAAUUCGUAGAUAUUCGCAAGAACACCAGUGGCGAAGGCGGCUUACUGGUCCGGUUCGUGACGCUGAGGCGCGAAAGCGUGGGGAGCAAACAGG